rnacentral:rRNA from 1 species
UGGGGAAUAUUGCACAAUGGGCGCAAGCCUGAUGCAGCCAUGCCGCGUGUGUGAAGAAGGCCUUCGGGUUGUAAAGCACUUUCAGCGGGGAGGAAGGCGGUGAGGUUAAUAACCUCAUCGAUUGACGUUACCCGCAGAAGAAGCACCGGCUAACUCCGUGCCAGCAGCCGCGGUAAUACGGAGGGUGCAAGCGUUAAUCGGAAUUACUGGGCGUAAAGCGCACGCAGGCGGUCUGUCAAGUCGGAUGUGAAAUCCCCGGGCUCAACCUGGUGACUGCCUUUCGAAACUGGUAGGCAAGAUCUUUUUGGAGGGGGUAGAAUUCCAGGUGUAGCGGUGAAAUGCGUAGAGAUCUGGAGGAAUACCGGUGGCGAAGGCGGCCCCCUGGACAAAGACUGACGCUCAGGUGCGAAAGCGUGGGGAGCAAACAGG